AGUGAACGCUGGCGGUAGGCCUAACACAUGCAAGUCGAACGGCAGCACAGGAGAGCUUGCUCUCUGGGUGGCGAGCGGACGGGUGAGGAAUACAUCGGAAUCUACUUUUUCGUGGGGGAUAACGUAGGGAAACUUACGCUAAUACCGCAUACGACCUACGGGUGAAAGCAGGGGACCUUCGGGCCUUGCGCGAUUGAAUGAGCCGAUGUCGGAUUAGCUAGUUGGCGGGGUAAAGGCCCACCAAGGCGACGAUCCGUAGCUGGUCUGAGAGGAUGAUCAGCCACACUGGAACUGAGACACGGUCCAGACUCCUACGGGAGGCAGCAGUGGGGAAUAUUGGACAAUGGGCGCAAGCCUGAUCCAGCCAUACCGCGUGGGUGAAGAAGGCCUUCGGGUUGUAGAGCCCUUUUGUUGGGAAAGAAAUCCAGCUGGCUAAUACCCGGUUGGGAUGACGGUACCCAAAGAAUAAGCACCGGCUAACUUCGUGCCAGCCGCCGCCGUAA
rnacentral:rRNA from 1 species